rnacentral:rRNA from 1 species
GCCUAACACAUGCAAGUCGAGCGGAGAUGAGGUGCUUGCACCUUAUCUUAGCGGCGGACGGGUGAGUAAUGCUUAGGAAUCUGCCUAUUAGUGGGGGACAACAUUCCGAAAGGAAUGCUAAUACCGCAUACGUCCUACGGGAGAAAGCAGGGGAUCUUCGGACCUUGCGCUAAUAGAUGAGCCUAAGUCGGAUUAGCUAGUUGGUGGGGUAAAGGCCUACCAAGGCGACGAUCUGUAGCGGGUCUGAGAGGAUGAUCCGCCACACUGGGACUGAGACACGGCCCAGACUCCUACGGGAGGCAGCAGUGGGGAAUAUUGGACAAUGGGGGGAACCCUGAUCCAGCCAUGCCGCGUGUGUGAAGAAGGCCUUAUGGUUGUAAAGCACUUUAAGCGAGGAGGAGGCUACUGAGACUAAUACUCUUGGAUAGUGGACGUUACUCGCAGAAUAAGCACCGGCUAACUCUGUGCCAGCAGCCGCGGUAAUACAGAGGGUGCGAGCGUUAAUCGGAUUUACUGGGCGUAAAGCGUGCGUAGGCGGCUUUUUAAGUCGGAUGUGAAAUCCCCGAGCUUAACUUGGGAAUUGCAUUCGAUACUGGGAAGCUAGAGUAUGGGAGAGGAUGGUAGAAUUCCAGGUGUAGCGGUGAAAUGCGUAGAGAUCUGGAGGAAUACCGAUGGCGAAGGCAGCCAUCUGGCCUAAUACUGACGCUGAGGUACGAAAGCAUGGGGAGCAAACAGGAUUAGAUACCCUGGUAGUCCAUGCCGUAAACGAUGUCUACUAGCCGUUGGGGCCUUUGAGGCUUUAGUGGCGCAGCUAACGCGAUAAGUAGACCGCCUGGGGGAGUACGGUCGCA